AGGAUGAACGCUAGCGGCAGGCCUAAUACAUGCAAGUCGAACGAUACCAGAGAGCUUGCUUUCUGGGAAAGUGGCGCACGGGUGCGUAACGCGUAUGCAACCUACCUUAAUCAGGGGGAUAGCCUCUCGAAAGAGAGAUUAACACCGCAUAAAAUCACAAGCUGGCAUCAGCAAAUGAUACAAAUAUUUAUAGGAUUAAGAUGGGCAUGCGUGACUAUUAGUUUGUUGGUGAGGUAACGGCUCACCAAGACUACGAUGUCGUAGGGAUCGUGAGAGGACUCCGACCCCCACACGUGGUACUGAGACACGGACAGACCUCCGUACGGGAGACAGCGAGUAAGAAUUAGUUGGUAC
rnacentral:rRNA from 1 species